ensembl:lncRNA
CCUGCCCGACUGCCCGACGAAAAAAAUGUUGGCAAAACACCCCCUCCUCAUCGCGCCGAGAAAAAAAAUGGCGGACGAGCGCUAAAUCCACACCAGAAACAAACACGCGCUACAGAGCGAGGUAAAACACCCUCGGAUACGCCGAGCGACGUCGCGUUUCGGGCUGCGCUUCCGCGCCGAGCCGCGGUCGUCCCCGGGCCGCCCGCCCCGCGCGCGCGUGUGUGUGUGUGUGUGUGUGUGUGUGUGUGUGCCGGCGGGCUUCCCGCCCCGCCAAUGCUAAUGUUUAUCUUUAAGGAGUCCGCGAGCUUAGCCAGCCACCUAGCACGCUAAGCUAGCAUCCGCGAGGGGCGGCGGGCGCUCGUCGCCGUGUUGCCGCGCGGCCGCGAGUGUCGCUCCGGCGUUGCGCUCGCCGGGGGUUUGUUCGUGUCGCGUGAGCUCGUGAAUAAGUUGACGUAAACGUGUUGAUGUAGCAGCGGGGAGGAGGGCGGCGGCGGGGGGGCGGGCGGGGAGGGUCCCGUGUGUCCGCGCCGUGUUUAGCGGACGGAGCUCAGCACUUUCCCGAUAAGCGCGAUGUCUUAGCGUGCAGAUGGAAAACAACGGUGCGGCCGCAGCGGUUCCUGCCGCGCGGGUUAGAUGAGACCACCAGCCGGGGAAGCAACGGGAGGAACCGGGGGGAACCGGGGGGGGGGACGACGACGACGACCUGGAUGCAGAUCUCACUGACGCCUCCUGUCACUUUCCCAGACGGAGAAGAGGAGCGGGGACCGGCCCGCUCUCUUUUUGGACCCCCCCCUCUCGGUGGAGGAAAAAGGCGCACUUCCACCGCACAGGGAAUCACCCGGGAGGAGAAACCGCUGCUCAACGGUUAUGAGGUUUUAAGCGCCGGAGCCGCCUGUGUGUUGUGAGCUCGGCCUGCGUUGGAGCAUGAGGAAGCCUGCGCCACAGAAAGCCAUAGAAUGGAAAGAAGUCAGAAGGAUCAAGCAAGCCCGGAGCGGACGUCCCUCUCGGGUGCUCUCACAAUACCAAGGUGAGUGAGUUUGGAGUGAUUCUAACAGGUGAAAGUACCCGUGGUUUUACCUCAACCCCAUCAUCCCCAGCACCAUAUUUGCUGAAAAGGUGGAUAAAAGAUGUGGAGCUUUGUGCGUCUUUGCCAUUGUGUGUUCGGGCUCAAAAAACAUGGCUUUGUCAAAUGCAUGAAAAAUAACAUUCAUGAAACUUUCUAUCACCCCAAAAUGCGAAGGCAGUUGUUACGUGAUACAUUAGGGGUGUAAAGAUUCAUUUUAACAACGAUUCGACGAUCGGUUAAUUUAGUUGAGUUCGAUUUGAUUCGGUGACUUGAAAUCGAUUCAGUAACUUUACUGGACAGUGCAGGCAAAGUUUCUGAGAUCUCUGUUGUUUCUUGAAAGGAAAUCAGGUUUAAAUUAAUUAUGGAUAUUAUAAACAAGCAAACAACA